AGGUGAGAGGGCUGCGCCGCUGGGAUGCUGGGGCUCCUGAAGACCCGCGUCCCGAGGAAAGGGAAGUUGGAGACCGAGUCGGUCCCCACACUGUGACGCUCCCGGCGAGGUAGCAGCGCAGAGACGAGUCCUCUCCCUGUGAGGCAUCGACCUCAUCUCUAUUCUCUGCUGUGGACCCAGGGCCGCCUGACUCAGGGGCUCAUUGGCCUAUUGUGUCAUAGUCCAGACAAGGACUUCCACUAGAAGGCACCCCUCAGAAACACUGAAUCUACAGAAUUUGGUUUGCUCUAACAGCAGAACUGUGAAGCCUUCACUGUAUUACAUUACAACUGAUGCUCAACCUUCUGGCAGCAGAGUCUACACCUUGGUUUCAGUAUAUCACAGACCGCCAGCCCUGCACUUGGCAAAGAAGACAGGCCAAUACUGCCGAAUGAAUACAUUUGGGAAGCAAGAUCUGACAGGUUUGAGAAUGUAUUAGAAAUCGGGACUCUCCCAGAGCUGUCCUGACAGGAGGUCGUCGUAAAUCGUCUGCCACCUCACCUGCCAGGCCCUUUACACCUGCUGGCCUUCUCAUAGCACUCCUCAGCCAGGACCGAGCUGAUCCCAGUUUUAGGUGCUGGAAUGUCCAAGAUCAAGGUGUCUGCCAAUGUAGUGUCUGGUGAGUGACCAUCCUCUGGUUUAUAGGUGGCCCUCUUUUUGCUGUGUUGUCACAUGUGAGAAGGAGCCAGGGGGCUCUCUCAGGCCUUUUUUACAAGGGCACUCAUCCCAUUCAUCGGGGCUCUGCCUUCUGACCUCAUCACCUCCCAAAGGCCCUGCCUCCUAAUAUCAUCAGCUUAGAGGUUAAGUUUUCAGCAUAUGUACUUGGGGGACAUAAUAUUCAGUCCAUAGCAAAGGCCUAGUAGCUUUCCCCUCAGGGGGGGUCUCUUUCUUGCUCACCCAGAGCCCAGACAGUAAAGCUUCCUCAGUGAGUAGAAUGUUUUCUAGUCACCCUUCUGUUAGGGGCACAGUCCACCAGCAGACCUGGCUUUCUGUGUGUGUCCAUCCCUGAUCCCUGCCUCCUCUCCCACCAAAAGGCAGUGAAACUCAGUCCCUCACCUGGUUCUGUGGACCAGUAGCAGGAACCUCACCUGGCAGCUGAAACAUUAGAUCACAAACUUGCACCCAGCUUUCCUUUCUCUCUUCACUCCCACAGCCUUUCCCUUGCUCUCUUCUGAGCUUGGCCAGGCCAUCACACGACUGAGUGUUUGUAGCACAAGAGUGUUUGGACUGUGUGGUCUGCAUCUUUCCUGGACCAGGAGCUGUCACAUCCUUGGCAGCUGCAGUCUCCCUCGUUAACAAUGAGAACAUGCGUAGGCCUUUAGCUAACAAUACUCUUUUGUGGAUUUUUUUAUGUAGUUUUUUUUUUUUAAAGCUUUCUGUGUGUAGAAAAUAAUUCUGGUUCUCCGUUGCUUUCUUUUAAAGUAUCCUUUUAAAAAUAAAAUUAAGAAUUCUGGGAAGAUGGCAAUUGUGGAAGCAUAGUCUUUGUCUUCCAGAAUCCCCACAUAAACACAGAGCGGUAUUAAAAACAAAACCCAUGGGCAAUAUUUACAACAAGACUAGAUGACAAGGUAUCCCCCUGUUACCACAAAAUACAAGUGAACAACAGCCAUGAGACCUGCCCAAUAUCACCAUGAGUGUUGGGAAAGGAGAAGGAAGCAAUAGCGUAACUGGACGCCUGAGGGCCCUGCGCAUGCUCAGUACAGGAGCAGGUGCGCCCGCAUCCGCCCCCUUCCCCCGAGAGCCCCACGCAUGCGCCGUGCAGGAGCCAAAUGAGGACCCGCCGCAGAGCCUUGAGCUUGUGCCGAGCAGGAGCCAGGCCGGGAGCCGCAGCUGAGACCGGGAGGACUAGGUUCACUCCACCAGUGAGUGAGGCAGAGGUCUAAGGUAAGGCAUGAAAGUCCUUGACUUCUCCCACUGAGCCCCCAGGUCUCCACUGGGACUGCACCCCACAAUUGACAUCCAUUAGAAGGUGUGUGAUCAAAAUAAGUACGAUGGAAACAGUAAAGAGGAAGGACAGAGAAGCUCAACUCAAUGCUUGAGCCAGGGUGAGGUGAGAAAGGCACUGGCAUUGGGCACAAAGUUUCAGGGACACCAAACAACUCAGUAAUCAAGAUAACUGAAAUUUUAAUGCAAUAAUUUUUCGAAAACCAAAUUCAAUGCCAAAAAGUCCUUGAUGAACAAAAUACCAAACUUUGAAAUAAAGACAGAAUCAUUAAAAGUCUCGUAUUGAGCCAUAUUGGAGCCGAGGGCAAAAGGAAACGCCAGUGAUACUGACCCUGUCUUUAUUACAGUUUCAGGAGAGUGUUCCAGGAGCCCUCCUUGAGGAACCUACUGAAGAACCAGCUUCAGAAACCACAAUAACUAAAGAGACAUUGCAAUAAGGAUUAGUGUGAGCAGUAAAUAUAUAGUUACUUCUAGAAUUAAGAUUAAAUGCGGGUUAAAACGAGGUUAUACUAUGUAACUGAUACAGAUUUGGGCCCUUGGACUCUUCAGUCAACAUAAAUUGAUAAGAGCCAGACAAGGAAUUCAGGCAAGCCUUUAUUGGGACUCACGCUGAAGCACAAGGGAUAAAACAAGUAACAGGCGCCCUUGCUAGCUCUCCAGUGGGGGGCUGAUUCCUUAAAUGGGAUGAGGGUGGGGGAGGAUUGGUAACUCGGACUGAGGUGUGGAUUAGGUAUCCUGUCCACCCUCUUUCUGAUGCUGUGUGCAGGGAUCAUGUGCAGUACCCUGCCUUUGCUCCUGGCACCUCAGAAGUGGCGGUUGGUUUGUGGCCUUUUAGUAUCUUAUUGUUCCUAAUUGCCUCUACCUGGCUGGCAUGAAGCUGGUUUUAGUCCCUUAUAGUUGCCUUCUAUUCUGUUGCUGGAGGAGACGUUUGUCCAGGUGCAGGUACAAGCGCUCAGGUAGAGGGUCCCACGUCCCAACCCAUCUCAUAAUGGCUUUAUGUUCUAAGAAUAUAGAUAUGGUACAAACAAAGAAAUGGGGAAGGGAAGGAGAGAAUUUCAUGCAAAAAAAAUUUAACUUUUCAGAAGUCACAACUAGUUCUGAUAUUUUAUUGUUCUAAGGAUAUCAUAGUUUAUUUUUUUUCGGGUAUAGGUGACAUAUAACAUUAUGGUACUUUCAGCUGUACAACAUAAGAAUUCGUUAUUUGUAUAUAUUGUGAAAUAAUCUCCACAAUAAGUCUAGAUGAAAUCUGUCACCAUAUAUAAGUACAUUUUUUUUCUUUCAUGAGAAUUUUUAAGGUCGACUCUCUUAGCAACUUUCACGUAUUCGAUAUAAUAUUAUUAUCUAUGGUCAGCAUGAUGUUUCUUACAUCUCAUGACUUAUUUAUAGCUGGAAGUUUGUACCUUUUCACCCUCAGUCAUUUCACCCCACCCACCUCCUGCCUCUGGCAUCCACCAGUCUGUUCUAUCUAUGAGCUAGGAUUUUUCUUUUUUUUCUUAAAGAUUCCACGUGUAAGGGAGAUCAUGCAGUAUUUGUCUUUCUCUGUCUGAGCUAUUUCACUUAGCAUAAUGCCCUCAAGGUCCUUUCAUGUUAUCACAUGGCAAGAUUUCAUUUUUUUAUUUGGCUGAAUAAUAUUCCAUUGUAUAUCUGUACCACAGUUUCUUUAUCCAGUCAUCUGUCAUUGGACAAUGGGUUGUUUCCCUAUAUUGGCUAUUUUAAAUAGUGCUGCCGUGAGCAUAGGGGUGCAUAUAUCUUUUCAAAUUAGUGUUUUCCUUUUCUUUGGAUAAAUACCAGAAGUGGAAUUGCUGGGCCAUAUGGUAGUUCCACUGUUAAUUUUUUGAGAAAAUGCUAUACCAUAUUCCAUAGUGGCUGCACUAAUUUCCAUUCCCACCAACACCUCACAAGGGUUUCCUUUUCUCAACAUCCUCUCCAACAUUUGUUAUUUCUUGUAUUUUUUGAUAGUAGACUUUCUAAUUGGUGACAGGUGACAUCUCGUGGUUUUGAUUAGCAUUUCCCUGAUGAUUAAUGAUGUUGAGCAUCUUUUCACGUAAAUACCUAUUGGCCACCUGUAUAUCUUCUUUGGAAAAAUGUUUCUUCAGCUCUUCUGCCCAUUUUAAAAAAUCAGAGUGCCUCUUUGUUUGCUCUUGAGUGGUAUGAGUUCUUUAUAUAUUUUAGAUAUUAAUCACUUAUCAGAUGCAUGAUUUGCAAAUAUUUUCUCCCAUUCUAAUGGGCCUUUUCAUUUUGUUGAUGGUUUUCUUUGCUGUGCAGAAGCUUUUUAGUUUUAGUUUUUUAAUAUUUAUUUAGGCUGCACCCAGUCUUAGUUGCAGCACGUGGGAUCUUCGUUGCAGCACGCGGGAUCUUUAGUGGGGGCAUGCAGGCUUCUUAGUUGUGGCAUGCAUGUGGGAUCUAGUUCCUAUACCAGGGAUCGAACCCAGGCCCCUUGCAUUGGGAGUGCAGAGUCUUACCCACUGGACCACGAGGGAAGUCCUGAAGCUUUUUAGUUAGAUGUAGUCCCACUUGUUUAUUUUUGCUUUUUUCCCCCUUUGUUUUGGAGUCAGAUCCAAAAAAUCAUCACCAAAACUGAAGUCAAGGAGCUUACUGCCUGUUUUUUUGUAGGACGUUUGUGAUUGCAGGUUUUCCACUCAAGGCUUUCAUCCAUUAACUUUUGUGUUUGUUUUAAGAUAGUGGUCCAGUUUCAUUCCUUUGCAUGGGGCUGUCCAGUUUUCCCAUCACCAUUUACUGAAGAGAUUGUCCUUUUCCCAUUGUAUAUUCUUAGCUUUUUGUGAUAAAUUAACUGACCAUAUAAACAUGGGUUGAUUUCUAGGCUCGCCCCUCUGUUCCAUUCAUCUAUAUAUUUGUUUCUAUGCCAACACCAUACAGUUUUGUUUACUAUAGCUUUGUAAUGUAGUUUGAAAUUAGGGAGUGUAAAUCCUUCAGCUUUGUUAUUCUUUCUCAAGAUCGCUUUGGCUAUUGGGUGACCUUUGUGGUUCCAUAGAAUUUUAGGAUUGUUUCUUCUAUUUCUGUGAAAAAUUCCAUUGGAAUUUUGAUAAGGAUCGCAUUAAAUCUUUAGAUUGCUUUGGGUAGCAUGGUCAUUUUAACAAUAUUGAUUCUUCCAAUCCGUGAGGUGGAAUAUCUUCCCAUUUAGUGCUGUCUUCUUCAACUUCUUUCAUCUGUGUAUUGUAUGCUAUUAUGGAUACUGUUAAUCUGAACUUGUGUGUGCAUCAGUUGAGAUGAAACAAAUGACUAAUUGGAUAUUCUAAUUCAGUUAUUCCACUGUGUCCUUGAGAACCAGAUUUCCCAGUGUGGAGGAAAGGAGAUACAGAUGUCACAGAAGAGGUUAAGUAAAAACCUUAUAGUUCUCAAUUUGAAUUGGGUAUAUCUGUAUAACCUACCAGAGUAUUGUAUCAUAUGUGUAAAAUCUAUCUCCUCCCACUGAAAAGACUAGAAACAGUGAUCAAACCAGAAGCAAAGAGGAUUCCUAACUUCACCAUGUUCAGUAUUUAAUAUUCAAUAUUAUUUCCCACUAAAGGAAACAAAGGCUUCUUGGAGAAAUGACUGAUUCUAGUCCUGGGAAGGAAAUAUACAAGAUGAGCUUGAAACAUCUUGCCAAACCAGAUAUCAAGGAAGCAUUCAGACUAUUAGGGGCAUGUCAAAAGGACUUAAGAGUUAACCUGAAGAGGGUCCACCAUGUAAAAGAUGGGACAAUGUGAACAUCAACAAAUAUAAUAACGGCCAUGUAUUGAAAUCUGUCACAUAUGUUUUAAUUCUUCACUUCAUCCCAGUGUGUUUAAAUUAAUUCAUCAUCUUUGGAGUAUGACAGGCUAGAAAUUUAUUAUCUUGAUAACGGAUAAAUAAAUGAAAGAAGCAUCU
rnacentral:lncRNA from 1 species